UGGGGAAUUUUGGACAAUGGGCGCAAGCCUGAUCCAGCCAUGCCGCGUGCGGGAAGAAGGCCUUCGGGUUGUAAACCGCUUUUGUCAGGGAAGAAAUCUUCUGAGUUAAUACCUCGGGAGGAUGACGGUACCUGAAGAAUAAGCACCGGCUAACUACGUGCCAGCAGCCGCGGUAAUACGUAGGGUGCAAGCGUUAAUCGGAAUUACUGGGCGUAAAGCGUGCGCAGGCGGUUUUGUAAGACAGAGGUGAAAUCCCCGGGCUCAACCUGGGAACUGCCUUUGUGACUGCAAGGCUUGAGUGCGGCAGAGGGGGAUGGAAUUCCGCGUGUAGCAGUGAAAUGCGUAGAUAUGCGGAGGAACACCGAUGGCGAAGGCAAUCCCCUGGGCCUGCACUGACGCUCAUGCACG
rnacentral:rRNA from 1 species